rnacentral:rRNA from 1 species
UACCGCAUAACGUCGCAAGACCAAAGAGGGGGACCUUCGGGCCUCUUGCCAUCGGAUGUGCCCAGAUGGGAUUAGCUAGUAGGUGGGGUAACGGCUCACCUAGGCGACGAUCCCUAGCUGGUCUGAGAGGAUGACCAGCCACACUGGAACUGAGACACGGUCCAGACUCCUACGGGAGGCAGCAGUGGGGAAUAUUGCACAAUGGGCGCAAGCCUGAUGCAGCCAUGCCGCGUGUAUGAAGAAGGCCUUCGGGUUGUAAAGUACUUUCAGCGGGGAGGAAGGGAGUAAAGUUAAUACCUUUGCUCAUUGACGUUACCCGCAGAAGAAGCACCGGCUAACUCCGUGCCAGCAGCCGCGGUAAUACGGAGGGUGCAAGCGUUAAUCGGAAUUACUGGGCGUAAAGCGCACGCAGGCGGUUUGUUAAGUCAGAUGUGAAAUCCCCGGGCUCAACCUGGGAACUGCAUCUGAUACUGGCAAGCUUGAGUCUCGUAGAAGGGGGGUAGAAUUCCAGGUGUAG